UACAGAGGUGGCAAGCGUUGUUCGGAAUUACUGGGCGUAAAGGGCGCGUAGGCGGCCUUCUAAGUCAGACGUGAAAUCCCCCCGGCUUAACCUGGGAACUGCGUCUGAUACUGGGAGGCUUGAGUGCGGGGAGAGGGGAUGCGGAAUUCCAGGUGUAGCGGUGAAAAUGCGUAGAUAUCUGGAGGAACACCGGUGGCGAAGGCAGCCUCCUGGGCCAGCACUGACGCUCAUGCACGAAAGCGUGGGAGCAAACAGG
rnacentral:rRNA from 1 species